rnacentral:lncRNA from 1 species
UUCUGCCUGAGAACGUCCUUCCUAGGGCCGCACUCCUAACUCCCGCUCACUUUUAAGGCUUGGGUUUGGGAACCAAGUCUCUAGGGUCUGAGUCACGCCUGCCUUCUCUUCCCCGAGGCUGGAUUGGAGCACUCCUGAGGCCCCCACAGUGCCCUGACUUUAUGGAUCCUUCUGUCUCCUUCCCUCACCUAAAGGACGAGACUCAGAAGCUCCAAGACCAGUGUGAGACAGAGACCAGUCUCUUGGGCAGAUCACAGACAGAACGGCGUGUUGCAGAUAAUUUCUUGCCUAAGUAAAGAAAUGUGGAAGUUAAUCCCCUCUUCUAGACCAUGUGUGUUGGAGGAAGUAUGAAAAAAGGAUGAAUAAAAAUACUUCAAAAUUUCCUACCAUUUUGAACGUGGUCUUUUCUUGAUUGGGAGUUCACUGGUCACUGCUGUUGAUGUUUUGGCUCAAAAUCUCCUGUGAAGUUAUUUUAGUCCAUCUCCA